rnacentral:rRNA from 1 species
GACGAACGCUGGCGGCGUGCCUAAUACAUGCAAGUAGGACGAGUUGCGAACGGGUGAGUAACGCGUGGUAACCUGCCUCUUAGAGGGGGAUAACUAUUGAAAACGGUAGCUAAUACCGCAUACCAUCGGAUGUGCCCAGAUGGGAUUAGCUAGUAGUGGGGGUAAAGGCUCCCCUAGGCGACGCUCCCUAGCUGGUCUGAGAGGCGGACCAUCCACACUGGAACUGAGACACGGUCCAGACUCCUACGGGAUGCAGCAUGGGGAAAUAUUGCACAAUGGGCGCAAGCCUGAUGCAGCCAUGCCGCGUGUAUGAAGAAGGCCUUCGGGUUGUAAAGUACUUUCAGCGGGGAGGCGUUACCCGCAGAAGAAGCACCGGCUAACUCCGUGCCAGCAGCCGCGGUAAUAC